UGCCUGAUAGCUCAGCUGGUAAAGAAUCUGCCUGCAAUGCAGGAGACCUUGGUUCGAUUCCUGAGUCGGGGAG
rfam:TPA: Bos taurus chromosome 15, whole genome shotgun sequence.